AACGAACGCUGGCGGCAUGCCUAACACAUGCAAGUCGAACGAGACCUUCGGGUCUAGUGGCGCACGGGUGCGUAACGCGUGGGAACCUGCCUUUAGGUUCGGAAUAACUCAGAGAAAUUUGAGCUAAUACCGGAUGAUGUCUUCGGACCAAAGAUUUAUCGCCUUUAGAUGGGCCCGCGUUGGAUUAGCUAGUCGGUGGGGUAAAGGCCUACCAAGGCGACGAUCCAUAGCUGGUCUGAGAGGAUGAUCAGCCACACUGGGACUGAGACACGGCCCAGACUCCUACGGGAGGCAGCAGUGGGGAAUAUUGGACAAUGGGCGAAAGCCUGAUCCAGCAAUGCCGCGUGAGUGAUGAAGGCCUUAGGGUUGUAAAGCUCUUUUACCCGAGAUGAUAAUGGCAGUAUCGGGAGAAUAAGCUCCGGCUAACUCCGUG
rnacentral:rRNA from 1 species